rnacentral:rRNA from 1 species
GAUGAACGCUGGCGGCGUGCCUAAUACAUGCAAGUCGAGCGAACGGACGAGAAGCUUGCUUCUCUGAUGUUAGCGGCGGACGGGUGAGUAACACGUGGAUAACCUACCUAUAAGACUGGGAUAACUUCGGGAAACCGGAGCUAAUACCGGAUAAUAUUUUGAACCGCAUGGUUCAAAAGUAAAAGACGGUCUUGCUGUCGCUUAUAGAUGGAUCCGCGCUGCAUUAGCUAGUUGGUAAGGUAACGGCUUACCAAGGCAACGAUGCAUAGCCGACCUGAGAGGGUGAUCGGCCACACUGGAACUGAGACACGGUCCAGACUCCUACGGGAGGCAGCAGUAGGGAAUCUUCCGCAAUGGGCGAAAGCCUGACGGAGCAACGCCGCGUGAGUGAUGAAGGUCUUCGGAUCGUAAAACUCUGUUAUUAGGGAAGAACAUAUGUGUAAGUAACUGUGCACAUCUUGACGGUACCUAAUCAGAAAGCCACGGCUAACUACGUGCCAGCAGCCGCGGUAAUACGUAGGUGGCAAGCGUUAUCCGGAAUUAUUGGGCGUAAAGCGCGCGUAGGCGGUUUUUUAAGUCUGAUGUGAAAGCCCACGGCUCAACCGUGGAGGGUCAUUGGAAACUGGAAAACUUGAGUGCAGAAGAGGAAAGUGGAAUUCCAUGUGUAGCGGUGAAAUGCGCAGAGAUAUGGAGGAACACCAGUGGCGAAGGCGACUUUCUGGUCUGUAACUGGCGCUGAUGUGCGAAAGCGUGGGGAUCAAACAGG